rnacentral:lncRNA from 1 species
CCUCUCUUACCUUUCACAUGGACCUCUGCCUACCAGUGCCAAGUCUGCCUUUUCCACCAUCACCAGCACUACUCCCCUUUGGCCUCUUGUAUUUACACUGAAGUGGAUUGAAAUAAUACAUCCUCUGGCCUUCAUCAGCUCCUGACAUUCAGGCCCUAUCAUGAUUCGUAGUGGAAGACUAGGUCCUACUCCAACUCCAAAUUAUCCCUUUCGUAUAUAUGACCCUUUUUAUCUCCCUCCACCAUAUCCCUGAGAGGAGGAGGAGAAAGAUUUUUCUGUCUCAUUUUACAGAUGAAGAAAUUCCUGCCC